GCCUGCAGUGCUUGAUAAAAUUCAAAUCAAAUACUUUGUUGGCAUGAUAAGCUCUGUAAAGCAGUGCCAAAGAAGAAAAAAAAUAAAUGGAAAAAGACCCUCAGAUACUCUGCUUCUAGCUCAGGUUACUGCCUGCCCAACAUUUGUCUAUCUUGUAGCUGGGGAUUUUAUUCUCUGUCUCCAUUUAUCUCCACUGUUAUAUCCUCAUUCGAUUCCAAGUAGCUUCACAGCAGAUUGCUCCUGCUCUUUUGUGUGCCCAUCUCAGAGAAGGUGGCUGUUUCUACAGGGAACAAUGUUCCUGGCUGUACGUGGUUGGAAGUGGAUAAAGGAAAGACCCUAGGACUGACAGGAGAUGGUGACAGGAGAAAUGUGUCCGAAGCAGGCAUGCAUAUGAGCUGAGAAGAGAGCAGAUACUACCUGCUAUUAGGAACAGAAGUGAUUUUUUUUUCUUUGUGAUUAAAAAGAAUAGAUUGAUAAUUUAAAUUGUCUUGGGCAGAAGAAAACAGUUUUCAUUAGAGAGGAAGCAAGGAAGCAGAGGGGCUAGUGACAAUAACACAGCAUACAGUGAUGAAGUGAACUCUUAGUGAAAAGGAAGGUAUUCUACAUACACCUCUCAAAAUAUGAGCACUGCAGAUGAUUGGUGUAGAUUUGCUGGAGAUCAGCCUGCUGCAGAGAGGUGAGGUAAUGCAAGGAGUCCAAGGAAUAUCAAAUUACCUGUCUGAAAAACCAUAUGAGUGUUCUGUUCGUGAAUAUUCUAGUGUAUAACCAAAGCAGGUACUAAGCUGUGUCUGCCUGAGAAAGAUGAUGAGUCCUUCUUUUCCCUGACAUGAUUUCCUAACUAGGAAACGAUGCUGGCCUUAUCACUGUAACACAGAUCUAUUACCUAUGAGUGUCUCCUUCACAUGAGCUCUGUCUAUAUCAAGGCCUGAGCCAGGAUGCUGGACAGUUGGGAGGCAUGCAUGUGGCUGUGCCAUGAACUUACAGCUUGGCUUUGAGAACAUCACAGGUUUGUGCUUCUUCCUCCCUUUAUCAGCUUCUUCUGAAAGUAUCCCAAGGCAUAGGCAAUCCUCUCCCAUUUCUAGUGAGUCUGGCACAAUGUGCAUAGACUUAGCUAGGGCUUUGGUGCUCUACUAUACUCAGCAUAUUUUAGUUGUUUUUUUUUUUGCUAGAUUUUAGUUGAGAAAUAAUGGGAUUUUGGAUUAAACUAUAUGUUUGAUGUGAUUUCCUCUUCCCUUUAAGGAUUGAAAUAUGCAGUCAGGUGCAUGCCUGUAACAGUUGUAUGUUGAGUGUCAGCCUGAACCUCUGAUUGACCACUUGAGGCAAGCACUGAGUCAGCCAUGGGAGCACAGGUGAAGGCGAUUCAGCUGUGUGAUGGAAGGGGUGGAGCCUGGCUGCACCUCUCUUAGACCCUAUUUAAGGGCUGACUGCUGCUGGAGAAGGAUCCUUUUCUGGAGAUCUUUCUUCUGUGGGGUUUUUCCUGUGAACCUAGAUCUUUGGAUACAGCAGAAGAUAGGAAUGUGAAGACCACAAUGCAGGUCUUUACAGCUUGAAGGGACUUCAUGGCAAGUUCUUUGGUUUAUCUGGACUGUAAGUCACAUCUGCACUGUUUGUGCAGUGAACAUUGUCCACAGUGUAAAGAGGCCAUCAGUCCAUCUGCCAUGGAGGUCCUAAGGACAGAGGAUGCUGUUGCUAUGACUUAAUGUGACCUGCAUGAGAAGAGCCCUACAUCUAAUUACUAUUAUACCUACUCUAAUUGUAAUGUAUUUUAGAAAUAAAAAUAAUAUAGUCUUUUGUUGAUGACAGUUACAGUUGUAAAAAGAGAUUAAGUGAAUGGCUAGCAUAAGUGAUAAAGUUACAGGCCUAGCUUCCCUCCAAGACAUGUCGUCUACCUUCACAGUGGCCCACUCAGGCUGUGAUGCAUUUUUUCUGAGAUACUCUUCCAUAUAGAGUCAGGACUGUUUAAAGAGUCCAUCAACAUCAGGCACUUUGGCACGUGUUAUGAGUUUUAUGGUACAAGGAAAGCUUUGUAACUGUGCCUGAACUGUGACAGUCCAUGGGUCUGAUUGCAGACUAUAUUUGUACUGCUAAGUGCCUUGGGAGCAGCAGCCCAAUUUUUGUUCCAUAUCAUAAGAGGAGAGAGAAUGUGUUUAUUCAAAAAAAAAAAAAAGUCACAAAAUAUUAUUUGGAACAAAUGAAUGUCAAAGGAGAUCUCUGAAUAGUGCAGUGUAGCCAGAGUUGUAUUCUAAAGUGGCCAGUUCAUUCCAAAAUAGCUAAGCUGGUAGCAAAGGAAUUACUGAGUUCAGUUAUUUUCAGUGUUUUUCAUUAGACUUAGGUAUUGAUUUUUAACUAAUUAUCACUUACUACAGGUCACUGCAAAUCCAAAGUUAUGAAUUUGGAAAAGGAACUUAAGCAUGGCCAGGGAAUCAUGACUUACAAUUGAGGCUCAAUUAGGAUUUUUCCACCAACGUGGAUUUUACAGGUGUAAAAAUUGUAAUGUUUUGUCACUGUUAGAAGCUUUUAAUGAUAUAAAUAAAGAGAAAUCAGAGAAUUUUCAAUUCUAACAGACAUACAAGGAAAAAAUGUUUUACCAGCAGAAUAGUUCAAUUCUGAAGAAGCGGACAAUUACAAAGUCUUUGGUUUCUAUUACGUUUAGUGGUAUGUGGAUUCCAGGAUAAGUAUUUUAAAUGGACAAUUAAUUGCAGAGAAAGGGAGGGAGGCCUCAUCCUGACUGCACAGCUAUGUCAUUGAUCUUAUGUGGUUUUGGCUUCUAUUUCUUUUAUCUUAAAAGAUAUGUGACCCUGUCCAUAAAGUCAGGAGAAAACAACCUAGAGAGGUCCAAUGGGACUCUAUUAAAGACAAAGUCUUCUCACAGAACAAACAAGAAACAACUAAAAUAAAGACUAUUAGACUAUUUUAUGGAACUUCCACUGCCAAAGCUAGAAGCAGUCUGAGGUGAGAAGUGUUGAAGUGGAAGGCUUUCUUGUUCAGCAUCAAUCAAGAAGUGCUGAAGAGCAAAUUCAUUGCAUACAGAGCAUAAAGAACCCAAGCUGAUGAACUCUCUGUAUCUGUACUUCUUCUAAGAGUGUAGAUGAAAAUUGUAACAGCUCCAGAAACACUAGUAUAUAACGCUUCCAGUUUUGUCAGUGCUCAGACAAAGGUGACUGGGGUCAGAUGGUCUAGACUGUGGAAAAUCCUGAGCUGAAUUUUUCCUUGGUGAUCUCUCACCCACCAGUGCCAUACAUUUGAGAUAAGUGAAAUAUCGGUUUCUGAUUGCAUUCUUGUGUGUAAAUUAUGUAGAGGAUGUAAAGGACCAACAAAAUAUUUUCUGACUUUCCAUGGUAUGCUUCUCAUUUAGACUGUGUUAAAUUCUCAUUAAAGUUGGUGAUUGUGUGUGGACCUUUGCAUAUUAUUUACCUUAUUGUAACCAGGGUUAUUUGUGAAUCUGAUUGCCCCUUCCUUUUUCUUACAAGCAAGAUGUGACAGGAGGUCAUUCUGAAAAAUUUCAACUGGAGAUGACCUCAAGUCAGUCACUAACAGUGGGGUCUGGAGCUUGUGGAUAAGUUUGGCAUCACUGUCCUAGCUGUGGGAUCCAGAACCCUGUCUGUGUGAUCUAAAUUUCUGGCUAAAGACUCAAAACUUCAUGUGGACUCAAACUCUGUUAUAUUUUAAAAUAAGAGUGAUCCAUAUUAAAGAAGCCAGUAAAGCCUUUCUAUAGUUUUGUCAACAGCAUGUUUCAUUUUUUUCAAAAGCUUUCUGACUCCAGUGGCAUCAAUCAUCAAAGCAACUCAAACUGUUUAGACUGCUUCUGGACCUUGCUUGAACUAUCCAUCAGGGGGGCUUUGGGAAUAGAAGAACAGCAAUUUUUUAGAGAAGAUGGAACAGUAAGGAAAAAGCUAAGCCAUGUCCUUUGUUUGAUUUCUCUUGUGAAAUGAAACAAAAGAAAAAGAUACUGAGCUGCCUGGACUAGUAGAAUGAGCAGUUCAAAACACUACAUUUUCAAUUUGUUUCACUGGAAAGAAGUUCUUUGCUGCUACCAUUUCUUCUGUUGUAUAAAAUACCUGUUUGCUCUUUAAAAUGUUCUAAAAAUAUAUAAGAAAAUGCGCACUCUAUGAACUGAGUUACUUCUGCCUCCUCACUUGCUCCUGUCAGCUCUCCUACUUAUGUUUAUUUGUCUUCAGAUUUUCCUAAUGUCCUGAUUUUUCUGCUGCUGCUGCCAGCACUUUGAGAGAUAGACACAUCACAGAAGUGAGAAAAGGAAGAAUCCAAUAAAAUUGGAGUUAAAUUCA